UACGGGGGGGGCAAGCGUUGUUCGGAAUUACUGGGCGUAAAGGGCUCGUAGGUGGCCAACUAAGUCAGACGUGAAAUCCCCAGGCUCAACCUGGGAACUGCGUCCGAUACUGGAUGGCUUGAAUCCGGGAGAGGGAUGCAGAAUUCCAGGUGUAGCGGUGAAAUGCGUAGAUAUCUGGAGGAAUACCGGUGGCGAAGGCGGCAUCCUGGGCCGGCAUUGACGCUGAGGAGCGAAAGCCAGGGGAGCAAACGGG
rnacentral:rRNA from 1 species